rnacentral:rRNA from 1 species
ACGCUGGCGGCGUGCCUAAUACAUGCAAGUAGAACGCUGAAGGAGGAGCUUGCUCUUCUGGAUGAGUUGCGAACGGGUGAGUAACGCGUAGGUAACCUGCCUGGUAGCGGGGGAUAACUAUUGGAAACGAUAGCUAAUACCGCAUAAUAGUAGAUGUUGCAUGACAUUUGCUUAAAAGGUGCAAUUGCAUCACUACCAGAUGGACCUGCGUUGUAUUAGCUAGCUGGUGAGGUAACGGCUCACCAAGGCAACGAUACAUAGCCGACCUGAGAGGGUGAUCGGCCACACUGGGACCGAGACACGGCCCAGACUCCUACGGGAGGCAGCAGUAGGGAAUCUUCGGCAAUGGACGGAAGUCUGACCGAGCAACGCCGCGUGAGUGAAGAAGGUUUUCGGAUCGUAAAGCUCUGUUGUGAGAGAAGAACGAGUGUGAGAGUGGAAAGUUCACACUGUGACGGUAUCUUACCAGAAAGGGACGGCUAACUACGUGCCAGCAGCCGCGGUAAUACGUAGGUCCCGAGCGUUGUCCGGAUUUAUUGGGCGUAAAGCGAGCGCAGGCGGUUAGAUAGGUCUGAAGUUAAAGGCUGUGGCUUAACCAUAGUACGCUUUGGAAACUGUUUAACUUGAGUGCAAGAGGGGAGAGUGGAAUUCCAUGUGUAGCGGUGAAAUGCGUAGAUAUAUGGAGGAACACGGGUGGCGAAAGCGGCUCUCUGGCUUGUAACUGACGCUGAGGCUCGAAAGCGUGGGGAGCAAACAGGAUUAGAUACCCUGGUAGUCCACGCCGUAAACGAUGAGUGCUAGGUGUUAGACCCCUUUCCGGGGUUUAGUGCCGCAGCUAACGCAUUAAGCACUCCGCCUGGGGAGUACGACCGCAAGGUUGAAACUCAAAGGAAUUGACGGGGGCCCGCA